rnacentral:rRNA from 1 species
CGUACACACACGCUACAAUAGGUCAGCACAAUGGGUCGCUAAGCCGCAAGGUGGAGCCAAUCCUCAAAGUUGGCCUCAGUUCAGAUUGUAGGCUGCAACUCGCCUGCAUGAAGAUGGAGUUGCUAGUAAACGCAGGUCAGCUAUACUGCGUUGAAUGCGUUCCCGGGGCUU